UCAGUAGCUCAGUGGUAGAGCAGUUGGCUCUUAACCAAUUGGCCGCGGGUUCGAUCCCCGCCUGACC
rnacentral:tRNA from 1 species